UGGGGAAUUUUUCGCAAUGGGGGAAACCCUGACGGAGCGAUACUACGUGAAGGAAGAAGGCCUAAGGGUUGUAAACUUCUGUUAGUGCAGAAUAAGGAUUUUAUAUCUUGACAGUAUGCACAAAGAAAGUCACGACUAACUAUGUGCCAGCAGUCGCGGUAAGACAUAGGUGACGAACGUUAUCCGGAAUUAUUGGGCGUAAAGGGUGCGUAGAUUGUUUUAUAAGUUGAUAUUGGUAAAUUGGAACUCAAUUCCAUGGAAGGUAUCAAUACUAUAUUACUGGAGUAUAGAAGAGGUCAAUGGAACUCCAUGUGUAGCGGUAAAAUGCGUCGAUAUAUGGAAGAACACCGAAGGCGAAGGCAAUUGACUAUUCUACUACUGACAUUGAGGCACGAAAGCG
rnacentral:rRNA from 1 species